rnacentral:tRNA from 1 species
GGCUCCAUCGUCUAGUGGUUAGGACGCCGGAUUCUCAUUCCGGUAACAGGGGUUCGAUUCCCCUUGGAGCUA